CUACAGACCUGGAUGUGAACAGCAGAGGGUCUAUGUUUGCUGAUGCUACAGAUGAGCAAGACCAGAAGCUAGAAAUGGGGGAGAACGGAAUGGAGAGUGUU